rnacentral:rRNA from 1 species
UGGGGAAUAUUGCGCAAUGGGGGAAACCCUGACGCAGCGACGCCGCGUGUGGGAUGAAGGUCUUCGGAUUGUAAACCACUGUCGCGAGGGACGAAGCUCUGACGGUACCUCGAAAGGAAGCACCGGCUAACUCUGUGCCAGCAGCCGCGGUAAUACAGAGGGUGCGAGCGUUGUCCGGAAUCACUGGGCGUAAAGGGCGCGUAGGCGGCCCGGUAAGUAGGGGGUGAAAUCUCAUGGCUCAACUGUGAGGCUGCCUUCUAGACUGCCAGGCUUGAGCACAGUAGAGGCGAGUGGAAUUCCCGGUGUAGCGGUGGAAUGCGUAGAGAUCAGGAAGAACACCUGUGGCGAAGGCGGCUAGCUGGGCCAGUUCUGACGCUGAUCCGCGAAAGCGUGGGGAGCAAACAGGAUUAGAUACCCAGGUAGUCCCUGAGCGGGCUGGCAAGGCG